GAACGCUUUUGAUUUUAUAUUUUGUCUUUAUGUGUUUGUGCUUUGUUGAUGGAGAAGCCUACAUGCCAUCUCAAAAAAUUCAGAUCUAUGCUUGUUAGGUCCUCUUCCUCGACGAAGUCGGAGUUUAAUUUCCAUCAUUUGUUGAUGAUUUUUUUCUGCUUUUUUGGCCGCUGUUUCUUCUCUUAGGAGGUCUGUUCUGAUUAUCCUUGAAAGUUUGUUAAUUUCCGUGUAAAACAACAAAAAGUUGUCUCUGUAACUAGUAAUCUUAAGUUAUGUUUGAUUCAUUAAUUUGGGUAAGAUAACGAAAUAGUAGUCAAGUGGGUUUAUGUAUCACUCAAAUUAGAGGUUAAUGCAUUACUGCUGCAGAUUUGCUUUUACGAACUCUUAAUCUGAAUUCUUUUGUAUUGAGUUUUAAGUGAGGUUAAUGCAAUGAAGUUUAGCUUACUGCAUUACUGCUGAAGAUGAUGAUCUAAUUCAGGGUUUUAUUGAUGGUAAGUAUGAUGAUCUUCUUGAACAAUUGUCUCACAUGGUUUUUGUCAUAGAUGAGAUGGUUGGAAAGUCAAAGAAGAUCUUGAAGGAGUUAGUAGCUUAAGGAACUGAUUCUUGUUUUUCAUGUUCAUAAUUGAUAUAUCGUUGUCUUAUAAGAUUGAGAAUGUGGUAAGAGAAAUCUACGGCAUAAGCUCUGCAAAAACUUUCUCCAAGCAUCACCAUCUGAAUCACAUAAUGUUAAAAUUCCCAAA